UAUAUUGAAUUACGGUUUAUGUCUUUUUUAUUAAAAAUAUGUAAUGUUCAUGUUUUCACACAGCUCCGAUGCACGACUGGAGUUUACCCCUUCAGAUCACUAAAUAGGCACAAAAAGACUUACUAGUCUAAGAAAUAUAUUAUUACUAUAUCAAAUUGUAAAUAAAUGAAUCCAAUAACGCCAUCUAUCGGAACCUAAUUGCGUUAUUAGAAAACGUCUGAACGCCAUCUCUAACAAGGUCAUUCGUUCAGUAGAUUUUACUGUUCAAUUUUUUCAUUCCGGGGCCUUAAAUGAAAAUCGAUUCUUAAGGAGAAAACUCCAAAAACAGUCAAGUAAAUACGCCAUAUCAGAUAUAGCUCAAAAAGUUCGAGUCAAAUCUCAAUUUUAUUUAAAUGGGACCACAUGACAAGCACCACCUAUCGUUUAAAAAAAGAAUCAUCGAUAUCGGUCCACCCAGUAAAAUAGUAAUGAGGUUAAUAUAACGUUGGUCGACGUAAAAUAGCCAAGUAAAUACCCAGUAUUAGCGAUAACUCAAAAAUUAAAAGCUCAAAUAUAUUUAUAACGAAUAAACUGCUACUCUCUACUCUAGUGGAAUAUUGAAAUUUGAUCGCAAGUGAACGAAGUAAUUUCAUUAAAUUUUGAUAGAUGGCGUUGUGGCAAAGUAUUGAACAUGACCACAGUCGUCUUAACAUCGUCAUGUAAAUACGUGUCAUCAAAGAUUACUCAAAAAUUGCUCAUUAUAUCUCAAUCAUAUUUAAAACGAACGACAUGACAAGUAUUAGCUUUUGAUUUAUACAAAAAAGAUCAAAAUCAGUGCACCCAGUAAAAAGAUAUAACGUAUAAUACAACGUAGGGUGACGAAAAAACCGUCAAGUAAAUACGCAGUAUUAGAUAUAACUCACAAAUUACUAAUCAAAUCUCAAUUAAAUUUGAAUGGGACCACGUGACAAAUAGUAGCUUUUAAUUUAUAUAAGAAACGUCAAAAUCGGUGCACCCAGUAAAAAGUUAUGAGGUAUAAUACAACGUAAGGUGACGAAAAUAAUGUCAAGUAAAUACGCGUUAUCAAAGAUUAAUCAAAAAGUAGUUAUCAGAUCUCGAUAAAAUUUAUAUGUGACCACAUGAUAAACAUCAGCUUUCGAUUAAAGUAAAAAUUAUCAAAAUCGAUACACCCAGUAAAAAGUUAUUGCGGAUUUUCAAGAGUUUCCCUCGAUUUCUCUGGGAUCCCAUCAUCAGAUCCUGGUUUCCUUAUCAUGGUAUCAAACUAGGGAUAUCCCCUUUCCAACAAAAAAAGAAUCAUCAAAAUCGGUACACCCAGUAGAAAGUUAUGUGGUAUAAUACAAUGUAGGUCGACGAAAAAAGCGUCAAGUAAAAACGCAUUAUUAGAUAUAACUCGAAAAGUAGUUGUUAGAUCUCAAAUAAAUUUAAAUGGGACCAAUCGGCACACACCACCUUUCGAUUAAAACAAAAUUUGUCGAAAUCGGUCUACCUGGUCAAAAGUUCU
rnacentral:misc_RNA from 1 species